rnacentral:lncRNA from 1 species
UACGAAAUCACAGUCAUGCAUUAUGAACAGAUGAAACGGGACAUCGAUUAAAUCAAAAUGUCGUUUAUUUCUUUAAAUAAGUGUGACAUUUUUUUUAUUUUUUUUAAAACUUAAUAUCAUAAAAACAAGUUUAAAUGAUGUUCAUUCACAUUGUUUUGUAACGACUUGAAACGGAAAUAUUUCACAGCCUUUUUCGAGUACGACUUUCGAUUAUUAUCACUGUUUCAUUUCCGUUGUUCAAUCCUCAGAUUGCAGACUAUAGAAUAGUUAAACUGUCUGAUUUAUUCUUCCCAGCUACUUUUUAUUUGCUAGAUGAAAUGAAUUUUAAUAGCAUAAAUUAAGUACUUGGAUGAGAAAUCAGAAAUUACAUCUGACAGUCACAAUGUUGACCAAAAUUCCAUGCGAAAUUGAAUGCGAAAAG